AGCUCCAAUAGCGUAUAUUAAAGUUGCUGCAGUUAAAAAGCUCGUAGUUGGAUUUGUGGGAUGGCCGUCCGGCGGGGGGCCAUUUAUUGGUCCCGUUUGUCCUGGUUUUCGGCCUUCCCUUUCUCGGGUCUAGCGUAUUGGCUGGCAUUAGGUUGUCGGCCGCUUCGCGCCCGUCGUUUACUGUGAAAAAAUUAGAGUGUUCAAAGCAGGCUUAGGCCGUUGGAUACAUUAGCAUGGAAUAAUGAGAUAGGGCCACCGCGGUCUAUUUUGUUGGUUUGCACGUUGUGGUAAUGAUUAACAGGAACGGUUGGGGGUAUUCGUAUUCAAUUGUCAGAGGUGAAAUUCUUGGAUUUAUUAAAGACGAACCAGUGCGAAAGCAUUUGCCAAGGAUGUUUUCAUU
rnacentral:rRNA from 1 species